AGAGUUUGAUCAUGGCUCAGGACGAACGCUGGCGGCGUGCUUAACACAUGCAAGUCGAACGGUGAAGGGGAGCUUGCUCCCCGGAUCAGUGGCGAACGGGUGAGUAACACGUGGGCAACCUGCCCCAGACUCUGGGAUAACUCUUCGAAAGAGGGGCUAAUACCGGAUAUUUGGUCCUGAAGACAUCUUCGGGAUCAGAAAGAAUCUCGGUCUGGGAUGGGCCCGCGGCCUAUCAGCUAGUUGGUGAGGUAACGGCUCACCAAGGCGACGACGGGUAGCCGGCCUGAGAGGGCGACCGGCCACACUGGGACUGAGACACGGCCCAGACUCCUACGGGAGGCAGCAGUGGGGAAUAUUGGUCAAUGGGCGAAAGCCUGAACCAGCAACGCCGCGUGAGGGAUGAAGGUCUUCGGAUUGUAAACCUCUUUCAGCAGGGACGAAGCGCAAGUGACGGUACCUGCAGAAGAAGCACCGGCUAACUAUGUGCCAGCAGCCGCGGUAAU
rnacentral:rRNA from 1 species